rnacentral:rRNA from 1 species
UACGUAGGGGGCAAGCGUUGUCCGGAAUCAUUGGGCGUAAAGAGCGUGUAGGCGGCCCGAUAAGUCCGCCGUGAAAGUCCAGGGCUCAACCCUGGGAUGCCGGUGGAAACUGUCGGGCUAGAGUCCGGAAGAGGCGAGUGGAAUUCCUGGUGUAGCGGUGAAAUGCGCAGAUAUCAGGAGGAACACCAAUGGCGAAGGCAGCUCGCUGGGACGGUACUGGCGCUGAGACGCGAAAGCGUGGGGAGCAAACAGG